CCGCCCGUCACACCAUGGGAGUCAUUUGCUCUAGAAGUCGGUGCGCCAACCUCGUGAGGCAGCCGCCUAAAGAGUGAAUGGUGACUGGGGUGAAGUCGUAACAAGGUACCC
rnacentral:rRNA from 1 species